AGUCAGAUUAAGUAUUCAAAGCCACUCAGAGCUCUGAUCAACAGGAUAAGAACCAGAACCGCUGCCUGUGCACCAGACUCUGGUCUGAGUGGUUGACUUGUAUCCCCAAGAUUACUCCUCCUAGCACCAGUAUUUGCAGUACCCAUUUAUUCCUGAGGCAUGCGAGUCUGACUAAUCCUUCAGGGGUGUCUCAGGGGAGGACCAUCCUACAGAAAAGCAUGUCUCCCUGCAGUGUGAACUCCCACCGGGUGCAUCUGGCUCUGGGACAAGGCUCAUGCAGUGCUGCGGAAGACCCAAUAUCGUAUAAUUUAGAUGCUUUCCACCCUUCCUUCCAGAAGUUGGCAAACUGCUUACCUGCCUCUAAAGCAUCCCCGUUGUUGUGACUCUGUGUCCAUCUCAGCCUCCUGUCACCAGCCUGAAAGACUGAGCUUUUUGCUGCAUGCUUCGGCAGUAGCACCUGCAGAGGUGUAACAGAUGCAGUAAGAAUUGCACCUGCUUCCACUGCUAUCAGAAGUCAAACAGCUGAUUGUUACCUCUCCAGGGGCAUUGGUGAGCUUCAGUCGUUGCUCUCCUAUUUCAAAAUCCCACCUUUAAAAAGAAAAAUAAGACACAAAAAAAGCGUAGAGCCUGGAAAGAAGCUCAAACUU
ensembl:lncRNA